rnacentral:rRNA from 1 species
GGGAGCUCUCCCAUAUGGUCGACCUGCAGGCGGCCGCGAAUUCACUAGUGAUUCGUAUUACCGCGGCUGCUGGCCGUAAUCAAACUCGAAUUCCUGCGGCCGCCAUGUCGUCCCUGCGAAAGGGGUUUACAACCCGAGAGCCUUAUCCCCACGCGGCAUGGCUGGAUCAGGCUUGCGCCCAUUGUGAACAAUUCCCCACUGCUGCCUCCCGUAGGAGUCUGGGCCGUGUCUCAGUCCCAGUCUGGGUGAUCGUCCUCUCAGACCACCUACCGAUCGUCGCCUUGGUGAGCCAUUACCCCACCAACGAGCUAAUCGGACGCAGGCCCCUCCCGAAGCGCAUUGCUGCUUUGAUCGAUCGAAUGAACAAACGAUCACAUGCGGUAUUAGCCACCCUUUCGGGCAGUUAUUCCACUUCGGGGUAGAAUACCUACGCUACUCAGCCGUCCGUCACUAACUUUUCAGAGCAAGCCCUGAGACGUCCGCGACUUCACUAGUGCACGCCGCCAGCGUGUAUCCUGAGCCAGGAUCAAACUCUAA